GCAUUUCUCAAGCUGAUGCUUCAGACACCUUUAAAGGACAGCCUGCAGAGGAGCACAGGAGGGCACUGAUUUGCCACUGGUAUCUCAGGGCAUGCCAUUGGCUUUGGGGUCAUUACAGUGAGAAAAGAUUCCUUUAUCCCUUAUAAAUAUGAGAAACUCUCUUGGCUUGGUUGGAUUAUAAGGGACUGAUCAUGCAGGUGAAAAGGGAUUCUUUAUCAGGAAAAUUCUUAGAGUCCAGUGAGAGGGGCUCACCUGGUAUGGAGAGAGGUCAGAGGAAGCACUUGGGAACACAAUCAGAAAUGCACCUUGAAUGACCAUCUGUGCAGGUGGGGAGUGUGUUAUUAACAUGGAACAUCCUCAGCUGUGAGAGCUGGUGAGCUCCUGGGUGGACACAGGUUUCCCUUUGUCCAGGGAACUGGAUGUGAGGUUCACAAGGGGGUUUCACUUGCCAAGUUAUUUACUCGUGCUUGUGGUGUUCUGCUCUGGCAGUGGGAAAUGGUGAUGUCAUUAGGUGAUUGAGCAUGUCUAGAGACACCAAAAGUUGUUUUCCAGAUGUCAGAAAGUCUGGAUAUAAGGGGAAGCCUCCUACUAGUGGAGUGUUGGUCCUGGGUCUCUAAGCUUCACUGAAAAUAGGUGAAAUGAAGGAAAAAAUGGACAAUUAUCCCACAGAUGGUUUUUCCAUUGAGCUUCUCCUGAUGUUUCUUCACACAGCAGAUGCAGCCUGAAUGAAACCUGAAUGCUUGGUAAGAGAUCUGCAUUGUGCCUUUAACCUUGCUCCAAGACAAAGCCAGGCAGAAACAACCCCUGCAGUGAGUGCUCAAAGUGCUCCUGGCACAGGGGUUGGAGGAGCUGGGAUUCCACCCUGCCAGGUUUCUGCCAAGGCUGCACACAAGCACAGCAGCAGCAGGACACUUGAUAUUGAAGCUUUAUACUGGACUACUCUGCUAGUCAAGCUUCUGCCUUGAGAAACAAUUCCAAGUGCUCAGCGAAGUUCUCCACACAAACAGCAGAACAUUUUCAUGGGCACUUCUUCUGUCAGCAUGUCUGGCCACCUAAAAUAACUUUUUAUGUACUUAUCUGAAAACCCAUACUGUCUUUCCUUUCCUGUUUGUCUGCAUUUCCUUGAACUACAUCUGUUCUCCAGAUUUCUUCAUAGCCUUCUUGUUUAAAAUACAAACAUGAUGAGUUUGAAAUAUAAACACUGCCUUGACAUUCUGCUUUCUCCUUGAUGGUCCCACUUUCUCUAGUCUGGAACAUGUCUCUUCUAGAACAACAUUUUUUUUUCUGACAGAGCUUUCACCACAUUUAAUACAGAAAAUUGCAAAUCUGUCCUGUUGAAGCUCAUAACAUCAGUGUGGCUAUUUUUAAAUGGGCUAAAAGUGGGAUGGUGGGGACGUGCAUCAGGUUCACCAAUUUUAGACUGGAAUAUUAGGACAAAGUUUAAAAUGGGCAGAACUAGAAAUGCCUGUAUUUCCAAGAAGACAGGUCUGCAAGUGCCUCUCUGAUCAGCAAAUCAGUCAGUUGUCUACCAAAGAGAAGCUGAGCAUAAACCAAUGCAUUCAGUGACAGGAUGAACAGACAAGUGGAACAGGAUCUUAUGGGAAUACUUUAAAAACACAGACUUCUGGCAUUCCAGACAGCUGUGAGAAAAUAGGUUUGGUUUGUGAAUGUUCAACAAAGGUGAAGUCUGUCAGCUCAGUAAUGUGACAUGUUUAACUCAAACACUUCUAAAUGGAUUUGCAUGGGGGAUUUUUUAGCACAGUAUUAAUUCAAUGAAUAAUGUAAACUUGUGGUGUCAGAGUAAAACUGUAGCUAUAUAUCCAUGGAUUUACAUCAGUACAUGUUUAUUUUUAAGGGAUUUCAAAUAGGUUUAACUCAUAUUAUGGGUUGGUUUAAUUUUUUCUGAAUUAGUAAUGUAAUACCUGUAUUUUAACAGUUCUUCCCUGAAUUUCAGAGAUGUGAAAUGGUUCAAACUCACUAUGAACAUGCAGUACAGUCAGCACACUCCUCAUUAAUGGAGUACUGGGCAGAAAUAUCCUACAACAUUUAUCCUACAUGUUUGGAAACAUUCACAUUCUCUUGACAGCACAACUUAAUCCUGUUAACAAGAGGCUAGUGGCACAAAAGGCACAGUCUGUGGAAAUGUAGUGUUUCACAAGCCACCAAAGAUGUUUAGUUGGU